UGUGUUUUGUCCUUUUUUGAUACAGUUAAUGUCCAGGGGUCGGUAUUACGAAGCAUUCCUAAGGCUUGUCAUAAGAUACAUGUAUAUCUUAGGACGUGUCUUAUGAUUCUCUUAUGACUAUCUAUGGACAUAUCUUUAUUUGAUGAAUUGUAAAUGUGAGUGUCCACUUUGAAGGCAAUAGUAAAAUACUGUCAUUCUAGUUGACACUAAAAGACAUAAGAGGAUAGCCAGGACAGAUAUGUCUACAAAUAAAAUUGGGAAUGGAAAUGGGGUAUGUGUCUAAAAGAUAACAACCCACCCAAGGAGCAGACAACAUCCAAAGGACACAAAUACAUGCUUUCAAAGUAGAGGAUAUAUAUUUAAAACAUAAAAAUGACAUUCGCCUAAUGAAAUAAUCUUUUAGUUUAUAAAAAAAAUUGAGUUAUAAAUUUACAUAAGUCAUGCUGAAGGCCACAAAUGUUGAAGAGUAGAUCCAAAGAUGUUUAUAAUGAAACGUGGUGCAAUGAAAACUAUUUCAGCUCUCUCUUGAUUUUACAGAGUAAGCAUAUAAGACAUUGUUUUAGUCUUUGCAUGCUAUAAAACGAGAGGGAGGAGUAUUACCCAAUAUUAUUAGGCAUCGUUCUUAAAAUUUUGGGAAGAAUUUAGUUACAUGUACUAGUAUCUAAUGUAAUUGUCAUUGAGGAAAUGCAAGCUUUUAGUAAAUAGUGUCACACUUAUUUAAGCCAUGAUGGACUACAUAAAACAUUCAAUCACAUGAAAACACAUUUUGCCAACAUAAGUCAUGAAACAUAUAUUUCAGUAACUAUGUGAUCAUUGUCCUCUACAGAAAGAGACACGUUAUGGCCUAUUUAUUGUUGUUGUUCUUUAUGCAUUGGUGAAUCUAAAUGUGUAUUUUACUUCAUUAAGAUUUAUCUUAAAUUUUG
rnacentral:lncRNA from 1 species